AGCGAACGCUGGCGGCAGGCCUAAAACAUGCAAGUCGAACGCCCUAGCAAUAGGGAGUGGCAGACGGGUGAGUAACACGUGGGAACGUGCCUUUUGGUUCGGAACAACACAGGGAAACUUGUGCUAAUACCGGAUAAGCCCUUCGGGGGAAAGAUUUAUCGCCAAAAGAUCGGCCCGCGUCUGAUUAGCUAGUUGGUGGG
rnacentral:rRNA from 1 species